rnacentral:rRNA from 1 species
UCUCGUGACUGCGUGCCUUUUGAAGAAUGAGCCUGCGAGUUUGCGGUGUGUUGCGAGGUUAACCCGUGUGGGGAAGCCGUAGCGAAAGCGAGUCCGAACAGGGCGAUUCAGUAGCGCGCUCAAGACCCGAAGCGGAGUGAUCUAGCCAUGGGCAGGUUGAAGCGGAGGUAAGACUUCGUGGAGGACCGAACCCACCAGGGUUGAAAACCUGGGGGAUGACCUGUGGUUAGGGGUGAAAGGCCAAUCAAACUCCGUGAUAGCUGGUUCUCCCCGAAAUGCAUUUAGGUGCAGCGUCGUGUGUUUCUUGCCGGAGGUAGAGCACUGGAUAGGCGAUGGGCCCUACCGGGUUACUGACCUUAGCCAAACUCCGAAUGCCGGUAAGUGAGAGCGCGGCAGUGAGACUGUGGGGGAUAAGCUCCAUGGUCGAGAGGGAAACAGCCCAGAGCAUCGACUAAGGCCCCUAAGCGUACGCUAAGUGGGAAAGGAUGUGGAGUCGCAGAGACAACCAGGAGGUUGGCUUAGAAGCAGCCACCCUUGAAAGAGUGCGUAAUAGCUCACUGGUCAAGUGAUUCCGCGCCGACAAUGUAGCGGGGCUCAAG